CUUCACAGGAGGAGCGUCAUCUGGCCCUCAGGUUGCUGCGAGUGGUGGUAGGACAAUGUAAGGAACAAAGUAACAUGGGUUCUCCUGUCCAUGGGGUUCAUCAAGGUCUGAAGGCUCCUUCUGUCCAUCUUCCCCAUAUAUAAGGGAAGCUGAUCUGUAGAGGCCUUCAGAGACCUCUUCCACAAUUCUCUUUGUAGUCUUUGUCAAAACUCUGCCAAAAGUGGUAUUAAUGACUCUGAAAUGUAAAGUUAGGAAUCUAAAAGAUAUCUUAUUCCUCCAAAUUUUUUCCCAAUAAUAAAAACCUUGUUCCUUCAGUAAACUCAAACCUUACUUUUUCAGGAAGCUGACAGCUGGUGACAUGAUGGUGAAGGAACGGACAGCAUUAAGAGGGUAGAUAGAUGCCCAUGAAAGAGCAGGACACCUACAAUGUACAUCCUUUCCACCGAGCUCCACAGGGCUGCACGUGCCAUGUCUGUAAACAGAGAUCUUCUGCGGGCUCUGUGAACCAUGACCUGCCAGGAGCAAAGGGAGAGAAAACAGAGAAUGUUGGUUCUCUUUCCCUCAAAAGCCAACAACAACAAAACCAGCAACCCCCCUGUCUUCUCUGUCUCUAUGUAUAGUGAUUUAUACAAGUAUGUAAACAUUAGCAAGAACUGGGAUGAGAUGGCAUCUCAAACAAAUGUAAAAAUCUUGUUGUUUGCAGCAAUCACUGCUAUAUUUGAGAUCACAAUAAUUCUGGCUGUGAUCUAGAAAUUCAACCUGCAUUUGUAACUGGCUGAAAUGAAACGGUUUCUAAAUUAAGCUUAAAAUGAUUUAAAAUAAAUUAUAGUAUUUCCUUUCAA